UUUUAACAUAUUUUAAAUAAUUUUUUUAAUAUUUUAAUUUUUUAAUCUAAUUUAAAAUUUUAAAAAUAAAAAAAUUAAAUAUAAAAAUUAAAUAUAUAGUAAAUAAAUAUAUAUUUAUAAAUAAAAUUAGAUAUAUAUAAAUUAGAUUUAAAAUUUAAAAUUUGAAAUUUAUAUAUAAAAUUUAAAAUUUAAAGUUGUAAAAUUUUCUCUCUCUCUGUUUCCUUCUCUUACAGUCUUACUCCUCUGACUCCUCUCUCUCUCUUUCUCUCUCUCCCUCUCUCUCUCUCUCUUCCCCUCUCUCCCUCUCCCCACCCCCUCCUUCCCCGUCGGU
rnacentral:lncRNA from 1 species